CUGGACUCCAAUGAUGUCAGCCGUGUCUCUGCCUACAAAUCCAGGAUUACUGAAUUCAGAAGAUUGUCUCCUAAACUCACAGUUUCUCUACCAAACUUCACCCCUCAGAAAAUUAACCCAGAACAACUUUACCAACAAUUUGGUUCCCUGUCAGCAUUCUCCAUUACAACAGAGGAACAUGGCUACACCAUGGAAACCUCAGAAGCUGGAUCCUCUCCUCCCAAACCACUGCUUGAUGAGCCACGGAUCAUCUCCACCAUACAGACACAGUAUGGAGGCCAUCCUAAUUAUCUAUCCAGUGUUACUUGUCAUAGUGAUGAAGAAAUAUGGACGUGUAGUUAUAAUGAUAAGAUGAUGAGUCUCUACAACCUGCAGGGGGAACUAGUGAAGUCAGUCCAAACCAAGUCAGGGAACGAUCCACGGGACACAGCAGUGACAAGGAGUGGGGAUCUAGUUUAUACUGAUUACAAUGAUAGAACUGUGAACAUAGUGAAGAAUACACAGAUACAGACAGUGAUCAGACUACAGGGGUGGAGACCUCGCGGUGUCUGUAGUACCUCCUCUGGUGACCUCCUGGUUGUCAUGGACAGUGAUGAUGAUAAACAAACAAAAGUUGUGUGUUACUCUGGCUCCACAGAGAAACAAAGUAUUCAGUACGACGACAAAGGACAACCUCUCUAUUCAUCUGGUUAUAACAUUAAAUACAUCAGUGAGAACAGGAACCUAGAUAUCUGUGUGUCAGACUGUGGAGCCCAUGCAGUAGUGGUGGUCAAUCAGGCCGGGAAACUCCGGUUUACCUACACUGGUCCUCCCUCUACUACCGAGGGAUCAUUCUAUCCACACGGCAUCACAACAGACAGCCAGGGUCGGAUCCUGACAGCAGACUGUACCUAUAACAACCACCGUAUCCACAUCCUGGAUCAGGACGGACAGUUCCUCCGCUACAUUGACAACUGUCAUUUACAGGGUCCAUGUGGUUUAUGUGUGGACACCAGAGACAACCUCUUUGUGACUGAGUACAACACAGGUAAAGUGAAGAAAAUACAAUAUUACAUGUAAACAUACUGUGUGUGUAUACAUGUAUUGUAAGUAAAAUGUCUGUGUAUAUUAUAUGUAAACAAACUGUGUGUGUAUUGUAUGUAUAUAUGUCAACAAACCAUGUGCAAGUAUUAUGUGUAUCCGAAACAAAUUGUAUGUACAUGAAUUGUUUGUAAACAAACUAUUUUGUUCUAUAUGUAUACAAACUAUGUACACGUAAUAUGCAUUUUAUUAUAAGAAAAACUCUGUAUAUAUUGUUGUUCAUCAUAUGUAAACACACGAUAGGUUCUGUAUGUAAAUAGAAUGUGUGUGUAUGACACAUGUAUGGAAACAAAAUACAUAUUUCUGUAAAUCAUCACUAAUUGUAAACUAAGGAAACAUAUUUCUUUAAGUAAUUUGUAAUGUACGUGUGUGUUUUGACUGCAGUUGGAGUUGGAUGUAUAAAAGUAUUUCUUUAUUAAAAUUAAAAAUCUAAUAUAU
rnacentral:misc_RNA from 1 species